rnacentral:rRNA from 1 species
UGGGGAAUAUCGGACAAUGGGCGAAAGCCUGAUCCAGCAAUACCGAGUGAGUGAUGAAGGCCCUAGGGUUGUAAAGCUCUUUUAGCAAGGAAGAUAAUGACGUUACUUGCAGAAAAAGCCCCGGCUAACUCCGUGCCAGCAGCCGCGGUAAGACGGAGGGGGCUAGCGUUGUUCGGAAUUACUGGGCGUAAAGAGUGCGUAGGCGGUUUAGUAAGUUGGAAGUGAAAGCCCGGGGCUUAACCUCGGAAUUGCUUUCAAAACUACUAAUCUAGAGUGUAGUAGGGGAUGAUGGAAUUCCUAGUGUAGAGGUGAAAUUCUUAGAUAUUAGGAGGAACACCGGUGGCGAAGGCGGUCAUCUGGGCUACAACUGACGCUGAUGCACGAAAGCGUGGGGAGCAAACA